AUCCAGCUGACGAGUCUCAAAUAGGACGAAACGUGCGUCCUGUUU
rfam:Schistosoma curassoni strain Dakar, Senegal genome assembly, scaffold: SCTD_contig0000328